rnacentral:rRNA from 1 species
GUGGGGAAUUUUGGACAAUGGGCGCAAGCCUGAUCCAGCAAUGCCGCGUGCAGGAUGAAGGCCUUCGGGUUGUAAACUGCUUUUGUACGGAGCGAAAAGGUCUCUUCUAAUACAGGAGGCCCAUGACGGUACCGUAAGAAUAAGCACCGGCUAACUACGUGCCAGCAGCCGCGGUAAUACGUAGGGUGCAAGCGUUAAUCGGAAUUACUGGGCGUAAAGCGUGCGCAGGCGGUUUUGUAAGACAGACGUGAAAUCCCCGGGCUCAACCUGGGAAUGGCGUUUGUGACUGCAAAGCUGGAGUGCGGCAGAGGGGGAUGGAAUUCCGCGUGUAGCAGUGAAAUGCGUAGAUAUGCGGAGGAACACCGAUGGCGAAGGCAAUCCCCUGGGCCUGCACUGACGCUCAUGCACGAAAGCGUGGGGAGCAAACAGGAUUAGAAACCCUGGUAGUCC